GCAGUGCUUGUGGCUCAGUGGCCAUAGGCUAGAGAGAUCUGGAAAACCUCCCAGCAGCUGCCCAGCUAUAUUCAUCCAGAGGUGGGCUUUUGUUUCUCUCUCUUCCCUCACUGCUGCUGGCCCCAACCAUAUUCUUGAUUACUUAAGAAGGACAGGCUUUGAAAUUUGACAUCUGUAUCCAUAAAGUAGGCUCCAGGUCCCUACCAAUGUGCCUUUCUACUAUUUGAAACUGAGGGAACAAGUCCUGCUGAAAACCUGGAAAUCCCACCAGGCUGAAAACCAACUGUGGUCACAACUGACCAUCCACUUAUCUGACAAGGAGGGGAAGGAAACUGAAAUAUGACAAGGUUAAAUGAUUCAGAUGAGGUCCCUGAAAGCACGCUUCCCGAGACCCAUUCCUGGAAGUGGGUCAUUAAAGCUGCUCUCGGUUUAAAAUCAACCAAAUGCUCAGAUAUCAGAUGUGGAAACUGAGGCACAGGGAAGUUGAGCAACUUGCUCGAGGUCAUAAAGCUAGAAGGAGGCACAGCCAAGCAUGAGCUUGUGUGACCUCAAAGCCUACAUUUUCGCCACUGCUCU